rnacentral:rRNA from 1 species
CCUACGGGGGGCAGCAGUGGGGAAUAUUGGACAAUGGGCGAAAGCCUGAUGCAGCCAUGCCGCGUGUGUGAAGAAGGCCUUCGGGUUGUAAAGCACUUUCAGUGGGGAAGAAAGCAGUGGGGGUAAUACCCUCGAGGAAGGACAGCACCCACAGAAGAAGGACCGGCUAACUCCGUGCCAGCAGCCGCGGUAAUACGGAGGGUGCGAGCGUUAAUCGGAAUUACUGGGCGUAAAGCGCGCGUAGGCGGUCUGAUAAGCCCGGUGGGAAAGCCCCGGGCUCAACCUGGGAACGGCAUCCGGAACUGUCAGGCUAGAGUGCAGGAGAGGAAGGUAGAAUUCCCGGUGUAGCGGUGAAAUGCGUAGAGAUCGGGAGGAAUACCAGUGGCGAAGGCGGCCUUCUGGACUGUCACUGACGCUGAGGUGCGAAAGCGUGGGUAGCAAACAGGAUUAGAUACCCUUGUAGUC